rnacentral:rRNA from 1 species
GAACGCUUCUUUCCUCCCGAGUGCUUGCACUCAACUGGAAAGAGGAGUGGCGGACGGGUGAGUAACACGUGGGUAACCUACCCAUCAGAGGGGGAUAACACUUGGAAACAGGUGCUAAUACCGCAUAACAGUUUAUGCCGCAUGGCAUAAGAGUGAAAGGCGCUUUCGGGUGUCGCUGAUGGAUGGACCCGCGGUGCAUUAGCCAGUUGGUGAGGUAACGGCUCACCAAGGCCACGAUGCAUAGCCGACCUGAGAGGGUGAUCGGCCACACUGGGACUGAGACACGGCCCAGACUCCUACGGGAGGCAGCAGUAGGGAAUCUUCGGCAAUGGACGAAAGUCUGACCGAGCAACGCCGCGUGAGUGAAGAAGGUUUUCGGAUCGUAAAACUCUGUUGUUAGAGAAGAACAAGGACGUUAGUAACUGAACGUCCCCUGACGGUAUCUAACCAGAAAGCCACGGCUAACUACGUGCCAGCAGCCGCGGUAAUACGUAGGUGGCAAGCGUUGUCCGGAUUUAUUGGGCGUAAAGCGAGCGCAGGCGGUUUCUUAAGUCUGAUGUGAAAGCCCCCGGCUCAACCGGGGAGGGUCAUUGGAAACUGGGAGACUUGAGUGCAGAAGAGGAGAGUGGAGUUCCAUGUGUAGCGGUGAAAUGCGUAGAUAUAUGGAGGAACACCAGUGGCGAAGGCGGCUCUCUGGUCUGUAAC